UACGUAGGCGGAAAAUUAAGUCAGUAGUGAAAUCCUGCAGCUUAACUGUAGAACUGCCAUUGAUACUGUUGAUCUUGAGUGUAGUUGAGGUAGGCGGAAUGAGUAGUGUAGCGGUGAAAUGCUUAGAUAUUACUCAGAACACCGAUUGCGAAGGCAGCUUACCAAACUAUUACUGACACUGAUGGACGAAAGCGUGGGGAGCGAACAGGAUUAGAUACCCUGGUAGUCC
rnacentral:rRNA from 1 species